ACUCUCGAUAACAACAACAAAGUUAACAUUCUAGAAACUCGAGAAUGAAACUACCAAUUUUAACCAUUUUAUUCGUUUUAAUUUGCUUUAAUACAUGUAAUUCGGCGAUUGGAAUCCCGGUUAUGUUAGCUCAACUCUCAAUUGAUGAAGGUGAUUGCAAAAUUGGUGAUUUGAAAACGGAGUCCUGCAAUUAUUGUUAUUGUUCGAAUACGAGAUGGGUUUGUACCGUUCUAAACUGUGAAAUUAAUAAGGAAUAAUUUAUUGUUGAGGUUUCUUUAUACAUGGAAUAGUGAAGAAUAGAUAGCGAAGAAGAUUGUUUAUUUUAAGUAUUUUAAUUAAAACAACAAUGAUAUUAUAAAACAUAUAAUAAAUCGUAAAGAAACUGACGUCAUUAAGAGAUUAACAUUAAAUUUUGCACAAAUUAACUUAUUUUUAACAAAAAAUUCUUUAAAAGUAGUGAGUUUUAGGUUAUGCUAGUAUUACAGAUUCCUGUAAAGCGAAUAAAAAAGAAUUAAUUAAUUUUGGGGCUAAAACAUCUAAACGAAAUGAAGAUUUUGAUAUUUUUCCUUAACUUAUUUACUUCUUUUUUCGUUUUAACACAUUGUAGGAAGUUUAUUUUCUAUUAAUUCCUUUAUUGUAUGAAAAAGACAAAACCCAUCGACUCUAUUGAGAUCCAACCUUGUCCCUUUGCAAGUUGAAUCGCUAAAACUAUAAAAUAAAAUCUCGUUUUUAUGA